CCUACGGGUGGCAGCAGUGGGGGAUAUUGCACAAUGGGGGGAACCCUGAUGCAGCGACGCCGCGUGGGUGAAGGAGCGUUUCGGCGCGUAAAGCCCUAUCGGCAGGGAAGAAGGAGGACGGUACCUGACUAAGAAGCCCCGGCUAACUACGUGCCAGCAGGCGCGGGAAUACGAAGGGGGCAAGCGGUAUCCGGAUUUACUGGGAGGAAAAGGGGGGCAGGCGGCAGCGCAAGCCAGGAGUGAAAGCCCGGGGCCCAACCCCGGGACUGCUCUGGAAAAGGCGCGGCUGGAGUGCAGGAGGGGCAGGCGGAAUUACUGGUGUAGCGGUGAAAUGCGUAGAGAUCAGGAGGAACACCGGUGGCGAAGGCGGCCUGCUGGACUGCGACUGACGUUGAGGCCCGAAAGCGUGGGGAGCAAACAGGAUUAGAUACCCUGGUAGUC
rnacentral:rRNA from 1 species